rnacentral:rRNA from 1 species
CUCCUACGGGAGGCAGCAGUAGUGAAUCUUUCACACUGGACGAAAAUUAGAUGGAACAACCCCGCGUGGAUGAAGAAGGGGUUUGGCUUGUAAAAAUUUGGUGUUAAAGAAGAACAUAUCUGAGAGUAACUGUUCAGGUAUUGACGGUAUUUAACCAGAAAGCCACGGCUAACUACGUGCCAGCAGCCGCGGUAAUACGUAGGUGGCAAGCGUUGUCCGGAUUUAUUGGGCGUAAAGCGAGCGCAGGCGGUUUUUUAAGUCUGAUGUGAAAGCCUUCGGCUCAACCGAAGAAGUGCAUCGGAAACUGGGAAACUUGAGUGCAGAGGGGGGCAGUGGAACUCCAUGGGUAGCGGUGAAAUGCGUAGAUAUAUGGAAGAACCCAGUGGCGAAGGCGGCUGUCUGGUCUGUAACUGACGCUGAGGCUCGAAAGGAUGGGUAGCAAAACAGGAUUAGAUACCCUGGUAGUCCAUACCGUAAACGAUGAAUGCUAAGUGUUGGAGGGUUUCCGCCCUUCAGUGCUGCAGCUAAAGCAAUAAGCAUUCCGCGGGGGGA